UACGUAGGGACCAAGCGUUGUUCGGAUUUACUGGGCGUAAAGGGCGCGUAGGCGGCCUAGCGAGUCACUUGUGAAAUCUCCGGGCUUAACUCGGAACUGCCAAGUGAAACUGCUGGGCUAGAGUGCAGAAGGGGCAAUCGGAAUUCUUGGUGUAGCGGUGAAAUGCGUAGAUAUCAAGAGGAACACCUGAGGUGAAGACGGGUUGCUGGGCUGACACUGACGCUGAGGCGCGAAAGCCAGGGGAGCAAACGGG
rnacentral:rRNA from 1 species